rnacentral:tRNA from 1 species
AUUUAUAUAGUUUAACAAAAACAUUACAUUUUCACUGUAAAAACAAAGAAACCUUUUAUAAAUA